rnacentral:rRNA from 1 species
GAGUUUGAUCCUGGCUCAGAACGAACGCUGGCGGCGUGCUUAACACAUGCAAGUCGAACGUGAUUGAGAGCUUGCUAUCAUGAAAGUGGCGCACGGGUGAGUAACACGUGGAUAAUCUGCCUGGCGAUUCGGGAUAACACUUCGAAAGGGGUGCUAAUACCGGAUAAGCCCACAGUCUCUUUGGAGGGUGCGRRAAAAGGGGGCCUCUGUAUAUGCUCCUKUCGCUAGAUGAGUCCGCGGCCCAUUAGCUAGUUGGUAGGGUAAUGGCCUACCAAGGCGACGAUGGGUAGCUGGUYUGAGAGGAUGAUCAGCCACACKGGAACUGAGACACGGUCCAGACUCMUACGGGAGGCAGCAGUGGGGAAUUUUGCGCAAUGGGCGAAAGCCUGACGCAGCAACGCCGCGUGAGUGAUGAAGGCCUUCGGGUCGUAAAGCUCUGUCAGUGGGGAAGAACCGCCGGGUGGUUAAUACCUGCCUGGUCUGACGGUACCCACAAAGGAAGCACCGGCUAACUCCGUGCCAGCAGCCGCGGUAAUAC